rnacentral:lncRNA from 1 species
AUCUUGAGAUUGGAGUAGAAUUUGUGUCAUAAAUAAGUGUAUGCAGAUAUUCAGUGUCUUGCAGGACUGCCUCCAGCUUCCCGAGACCAGCACUCUGGACAAAUGCUGAGUAGGAGACCUGCCCUGCUGCAAGAAGGACACUGCAGAGCUUUGACAACCCUGAUGACAAGCCGUGUCUGUUAGUUGAAGGCUGCUGAACCUUGGUAAUGAAGCUCCUUGUGGCUGGCACAGGUUCAGUACAGAGCGAGCCAGCUCUGCUGUGAACUUGAAUAAACCCACCUCCAGUCAUGCUAACGUGCUUCAGAUACAGAAUAUGGAAAACCUACUAGGAAGCCUAAGCAAAUGGCCCAGCUGGAGUUACUGAUUGUAGCUCCCAGAAGCCAUAUUUGUUGAGAUCCAGCGCCUGCUGCUUGCCUUGCAUUGCUCAGUUGGAACAACUCCUCCCCCCCACCUUGGUCCUUGCUAAGUCCUUACUUGCGUUCUAGCAGCCGCC